GGAGAGAUGGCCGAGUGGUUUAAGGCGGCGGUUUGCUAAACCGCUGUACGUUUGAAAAAGCGUACCGUGGGUUCGAAUCCCACUCUCUCCG
rnacentral:tRNA from 2 species